CAAACCAUUCCAUGAUUCCAUGACUGAAAACACAGCAACCCCCUUCGCCUGCAGUUUUGCCCCUGAGCCCCCAGCUUUAAUUAAGCUCUAAUUCAGCUGUAAUCCUGAGGGCAGGAGAGCCCCGAGCCCCACAGUAGGAGGGGGUUUUGUGUGCUGGAUCUUGGGGAGAUGGAGUUGGGGGUCCCGUGGGCCACUACCAGGGGCUUGCCCAUUCACCUCCUCAGCCCCGGAGCCCCCUCGGCCCUGGAGUCUCCUUGGAUCCAGCCCUGGAGCCCCCACCUCCAUGUCACCCUCUCAGCCCUGGAGCCCCCUCGGCCCCAGAGCCCCCUCAGCCCUGAGACCCCCGUGGCCAGGGCGAUUCCUCAGCCUUGGAGCCCCCAUUCAGCCCCUGAGCCCCCUCAGUCCCUGAGAGCCCUCAGCCAUGGGCUCCCCUCAUCCCCAGAGCCCACUGAGCCCCCCUCAGUCCCUGAGAGCCCUCAGCCAUGGGCUCCCCUCAUCCCCAGAGCCCACUGAGCCCCCUCAGUCCCUGAGAGCCCUCAGCCAUGGGCUCCCCUCAUCCCCAGAGCCCACUGAGCCCCCCUCAGUCCCUGAGAGCCCUCAGCCAUGGGCUCCCCUCAUCCCCAGAGCCCACUCAGCCCCAAAGCACCUCCAACUCCGGAGCCCCCUUGGCCCUGGGCCCCCCCAGACACAACCCUGGCCCCGGAACCCCCUCAGCCCCAGGGGCCUCCUUGGCUGUCCCCCCCCUCAGCCUUGGAGCCCCCUCACCCCUAGAGCCCCUUGAGCCCCAGAGACCCCUCAGUCCUGGAGACCCUCAGUCCUGGAGACCCCUCAGUCCUGGAGACCCUCAGUCCUGGAGACCCUCAGUCCUGAAGACCCUCAGUCCCGGAACGCUCCUCAGCCCCAGAGCCCCCCUUGGCUGUGGCCCCCCCCGGCCCCAGAGUUCCCUUGGUCCCAGAGCCCUCUUGGCCCUGGAGCCCCCUCAGCCGCAAUCGCGGCCCUGAAGCCCCCCCUUGGCUGCAGAAAUUCCUCAGAACCCCCUCAGCCCCGGGGCCCCCUCAGAACGGUUCCCUGUGGAAAGCAGGAAGAUGGAGGGUGCGAACAAAGGAAUCAGUGCCCACGGUGUGCCCACCCCGUGCCCACCACUCACAUGAGCCGGUUGCGGAUGGGGCGGAAGUGUUUGUUCAGGUACUGGGUGAAGUACCGCAGCUCCUUCCUCGUGAAGCAACCGAUCUCCUAGGAAGGGGGAAGGCAGCGUGGAGGGACAGUGCCAUGAUUUCCAGCCCUGCUCCAACCACCUCCGGGCUAAUGUCAGACUUGGAACAAGAGCUGGAAGCUUCAGGUGCUCCUUCCCCUCUUGCGCUCUUUCCUUCUGGAAUUUUGUACCCCCUGAGGGCUCAUCCAGCCCCGUCUCACCUGCCGCAGGAUCUGCUGGGCUUGCACGGGCAGCCGGGCUUCCACCGAGGCCGUGGUAGCCAGUGUCCUCUUCACUCGCUCCUGGGGGGGCACAGCAAGAGCAUCCUUAGAGCAGGGAGCAGCAGGAUGGGUGCCCCGGGGUGCUGGGAGCAGGGCGUGCCAAGCCCUAAGCUGGGUCUGGUUGCCGGAGGGCAGAGAAAGAGGGAUGUGCCCCUGUUGCAGGGGGAUUUCUGAUUUGCAGCAGCAAAUCUAAUCACCAAAGGAGAUUGAUCCUCCCUGGAUGGUGUUUUUCCUGGCUCUCCCAUCACCCUGUAACUGGUGUUUUUCCUGGCUCUCCCAUCACCCUGUAACUGGUUUUUUUUGGGACACUGGCAGACAGGACCCAUAGGGCACCACAUAUUUUUUGGAGCUGGAAGAAGAUGUUGAAGUACCUUGAGAUGUGGUGCCAAGCGGGAGAGGAACUGGACGCUUUCCCCCAGCUUUGCCUGUGGGACAGUGAGGUGAGAAGGAUGAAAAAGCCUUCAAAGGGACACCACUGGGCAGUGCCAGUGGUACCACAAGCCACCAGCCUGGCACAGACUCACCACCAAAACCUCCUGUGACUGCACUGUGGAGUUUUGCAUCUGCCACAGGGCUCGGGCCUCGGCUCCCAGCCGUCCUGCCACCGUGCUGUUCCUCUGCGGGGGGACAGUGGGGUGAGGACACCCCCAUGGGCACAGAGGGGCACAGAGGGAUCCCCCAAGGACAUGGAGAGAUUCCCCACCACCCACCCUGCUGCUCACCUGCAUUUUCUGCAGCCCCUCGAGGUUCCUGGCCAGGCCAGGCAGGCUGGUCUGCACCAAGGGGUUUUUCAUCUGAGGGAAAACAGAGUCGGUGGCUGCCCAAAAUCCAAACCUGGAGGACUCUCCCGGUAUGGGGCUGCAUCCUGCUCCCUGCAGAGGGAUCCAGCUCCCCUCACCUCCUCCUGGAAGCGCCCAUAGUCCACCUCGUCCAGGCCGCUGCGGGCGAAGGUCUCCAGGUCCUGCCUGCCCUCGCUGCGCAGGAGCCGCACGUCCCCCAGGUGGGCAGUGAAGUCUCCCAGGCGUUUUUGGAAGUCAGCCGUGUACUGUGAGGGUUGGACAAGGGAUCCUGCAGGGCUGAGGCCAGGCACCUCCAUCCCAGUAACCCCAGUAAAGCUCCUGCAUCCCUGAGCCGUUACCAGCAGCUCUGGCUGGUGCCGCCCUCACCUUGGGGGUUUUCAGGUGCUCAUCCAGGUCGUAGGACCUGUCGAGCUGCAGCACCUCCCACAGCCCUGCACCGCUCUUGCAGUCCCUGGAAGGCAAAGGGAUGUUGGCAGCAUGAUCCCAAAUUUGCCCUGGAUGUGCAGGGACAGGGGUGGGCUCUUGCAGCACCCACCGGUACGUGGCACUGAGGUUGGAGUCCCUCCUCAGGUUGAGCUGGCGGGUGAGGUUCAUGGAUGGAGGGAGAUUCCCAGGGGUGUCAAUGAACUGGGCCAAACAGGAGGAAAGAGAGGGUCAGGGUCAGGCACAGGCAUUCCCAGCAAUGAUUCUGGGGGUGUUCUGCCCUCACAGUUGUGUCCUGAGGUACCUCAUCCCAUCCAGAACUAAUCUUGCCUUUAUUUGUACGGUCCCCACUGCAGAGACUCACCCAGUGUGUUCAGAGGGAAAGCAGUGGACAGCCCUGUGCUGGGACCUGUCUGCAUGUGUCCAGCCAUGGGAUGAGUCCCGAUCCCAUCCCCAAUCCCCCAACCCCUCUCUCAGCACCAUCACACCAUGUGCCAGCCCCAAGCACCCCAGAGAUCCCCAAGGACCAGGGAACAGGGAUCCCACAGGUAGCAAAUUAACAGCCUGAAGGAAAUUCCCUGCUGCUGCUGCAAAUCCAAGGACAUCAUCCUAAACUUAAUCUUCUGGUCUAGGAUGGGGCUUUUCCAGUCAGGUUUAGUGGGAGGAUUAGUGGGAGGACAAAGAGUGUUUGGAGUCAUUUUGGAGCACACAAGCAGAGAUUUAUGUGGCGACAGGUGCAUGUGUGGCCACCCACCUUAUAAAUCUCCUGGUUGACCCAAUUCCUGCAAACCAGCGUCUGGAUGUUGCCCCCAACCAGGAAGGUGGCGAAAACGAGGAGGAUGAGGAGCCAGGAGAACAGGAAAGCCAGGCCCACGCCGCUGCAGGAGGGAGAGGAGGGGGUGGGUCUGCAGCCCCGAGAGGGCAGGACCGGGGCUUGCAGGGACCUGCCCGUCCAGCUGCAGCCCCGCGGCUCCUUCCCGAGCCCGGGCACGCUGGGCUGGGAAGGGCCCUGGGAGUGGGGUGUGCCGGGCAGCGGGGCCAGGGCACAGGAGCUGCCAGCUCCCAGGGAGGAGCCGCUUCUCCCACUCCUCCCGGCGCAGGCGGUGGCAUCAAAAGCCUUUCCACUGGGCUGCCUCCCAGUUCCUCCCUGGGCUUUGCCCUCCUGGGGUUUUUUGGGGGGGAUGAGAUGGAACAGCCCCUUUGGGACACAGGGGGAUGCUUACACCAGGAGGAACUUGGCACCAGCCUCUCCUCGGCACUCGUAGUCACUCGGGUCCUCACGCUUGGAAAGCCCGUAGGCUCCCAGAGCCAUUCCCAUCACGUUGCAGGCAAGGAUGAGGAGGAUGAUGGAGCACAGCACCGUGCCCGCGAUCCACCUGGGGGGCAGAGCAGCAGGGCACAGCCUCGAGAGAGUAUCCUGUCUGUUUAAUCCUGAGAACCAGCUGAGGAACAGCUUUGUAUCACAAGACCACUAUGUAAAGGAGAGUAAGGUGCAUCACUUCAGAAAAGGAAAGGCAGCACUCAAAGUGCUUGAUCAACAACGACUUCAAAGUCUCUAAAUCCAUUAACUUGAUGUUACCACAGUUCAGUU